GAUGAACGCUGGCGGCGUGCCUAAUACAUGCAAGUCGAGCGAACAGACGAGGAGCUUGCUCCUCUGACGUUAGCGGCGGACGGGUGAGUAACACGUGGAUAACCUACCUAUAAGACUGGGAUAACUUCGGGAAACCGGAGCUAAUACCGGAUAAUAUAUUGAACCGCAUGGUUCAAUAGUGAAAGACGGUUUUGCUGUUACUUAUAGAUGGAUCCGCGCCGCAUUAGCUAGUUGGUAAGGUAACGGCUUACCAAGGCGACGAUGCGUAGCCGACCUGGGAGGGGAACCUGCCACACGGGAAGUGGGAAACGCCCCGGACUCCAGCGGGAGGCAGCAGUAAGGAACCGUCCGCAGUGGUCGAAAGCCUUACGGAGCAACGGCGCGUGAGUGAGGAGGGUCUUCGGAUCGUAAAACACUGUUAUUAGGGAAGAACAAAUGUGUAAGUACCUAUGCACGUCUUGACGGUACCUAGGCAGAAAGCCACGGCUAACUUCGUG
rnacentral:rRNA from 1 species